CGGGACGGGUGAGUAAUGUCUGGGAAACUGCCCGAUGGAGGGGGAUAACUACUGGAAACGGUAGCUAAUACCGCAUAAUGUCUGCGGACCAAAGCGGGGGACCUCCGGGCCUCGCGCCAUCAGAUGAACCCAUAUGGGAUUAGCUAGUAGGUGGGGUAACGGCUCACCUAGGCAACGAUCCCUAGCUGGUCUGAGAGGAUGACCAGCCACACUGGAACUGAGACACGGUCCAG
rnacentral:rRNA from 1 species